AGGUGGAGGCAUCUGGCACCAACAGCACCAAAUACUCUUGUGGAAGAGAAGAGGGAAGGCAGCAUAUACGCAGCACCAUAUUGAUGCAAUCAGAACAGAGUGGGCAAAAUUUGUUGUUAAAACAUAUAUGUAAGCAGUAUCGCAUCUAGCUAGUUAGUACUUGGGUUUAGGAACUUAUUUUGGUAACCUUGAUAUAUGAUAGACUUGCUAUAUUAAGGUUGCUUUUGGUUUCGAUUGUGGUUGAUCCGAAUAUGAAUUUGCACUUUGGUUCCAAAGUUGGACAUGACAAUGUAUGAAACAGAUGGCAGUAAUCUAUGAAAAUGUGGUAUUUUGGAUA